UACAGAGGUGGCAAGCGUUGUUCGGAAUUACUGGGCGUAAAGGGCGCGUAGGCGGUCUUGUAAGUCUUGUGUGAAAUCCCUCGGCUUAACUGAGGAACUGCACGGGAUACUGCGAGACUUGAGAUCGGGAGAGGGAAGCGGAAUUCCGGGUGUAGCGGUGAAAUGCGUAGAUAUCCAGAGGAACACCGGUGGCGAAGGCGGCUUCCUGGACCGAUACUGACGCUGAGGCGCGAAAGCUAGGGGAGCAAACGGG
rnacentral:rRNA from 1 species